rnacentral:rRNA from 1 species
GACGAACGCUGGCGGCGUGCUUAACACAUGCAAGUCGAACGGAAAGGCCCUGCUUUUGUGGGGUGCUCGAGUGGCGAACGGGUGAGUAACACGUGAGUAACCUGCCCUUGACUUUGGGAUAACUUCAGGAAACUGGGGCUAAUACCGGAUAGGAGCUCCUGCUGCAUGGUGGGGGUUGGAAAGUUUCGGCGGUUGGGGAUGGACUCGCGGCUUAUCAGCUUGUUGGUGGGGUAGUGGCUUACCAAGGCUUUGACGGGUAGGCGGCCUGAGAGGGUGACCGGCCACAUUGGGACUGAGGUACGGCCCAGACUCCUACGGGAGGCAACAGUGGGGAAUAUUGCACAAUGGGCGGAAGCCUGAUGAGACAACGCCGCGUGUGGGAUGACGGCCUUCGGGUUGUAAACCGCUUUCGCCUGUGACGAAGCGUGAGUGACGGUAAUGGGUAAAGAAGCACCGGCUAACUACGUG